AAAAUCAUGGGGACAAGGGACACAGAGGAAUUCUGGGAUUGAAUGAGAUAUCUUCUCAUGGCAGUGGUUUUGGCCUGCUUCCUAGAAGAACUACUAUGAGAACCAUGUAACCUCAGAGAGAAUGAUGGAUCUGAUUUGAAACAUCUUUCCAAGAAUAACAACAACUUUGUGGUACAGGAUGGGUACUGAAAAAGAGAUUCACAGAAAGUUACACAAAAGGUGGACCCUGAAUCUUCUAAAUCCUAAUUUGUGUAUUGAAGGCAAUUUGAGCGUGUUUAUUUUUUGCAUCCUUCUCCUUUAUUAAUGUAGAUCACUGACUGUUUAUAGAUUGAGUUAGAAAUCAUGGACUUACUUCUGAGUAGGCUUGAAUAAGAGAGCAUUUAGCUAUUUUAUAAUAUAAUUAAUGAGCACUAUAAUGAAAAUUUCCUUUGCAUACUUAUGUACAUUAAAUUCUUUCAUGGGAAGAAUUCUUU